rnacentral:tRNA from 1 species
GGCCUAGCGGUCUAGGGGUAUGAUACUCGCUUUAAGUGCGAGUGGUCUCGGGUUCGAACCGCAGCUGGGAU